GAUGAACGCUGGCGGCGUGCCUAAUACAUGCAAGUCGAGCGAACGGACGAGAAGCUUGCUUUUCUGAUGUUAGCGGCGGACGGGUGAGUAACACGUGGAUAACCUACCUAUAAGACUGGGAUAACUUCGGGAAACCGGAGCUAAUACCGGAUAAUAUUUUGAACCGCAUGGUUCAAAAGUGAAAGACGGUCUUGCUGUCACUUAUAGAUGGAUCCGCGCUGCAUUAGCUAGUUGGUAAGGUAACGGCUUACCAAGGCAACGAUGCAUAGCCGACCUGAGAGGGUGAUCGGCCACACUGGAACUGAGACAGGGUCCAGACUCCUACGGGAGGCAGCAGUAGGGAAUCUUCCGCAAUGGGGGAAAGCCUGACGGAGCAACGCCGCGUGAGUGAUGAAGGUCUUCGGCUCGUAAAACUCUGUUAUUAGGGAAGAAGAUAUGUGUAAGUAACUGUGCACAUCUUGACGGUACCUAAUCAGAAAGCCACGGCUAACUACGUG
rnacentral:rRNA from 1 species